AGUGAACGCUGGCGGUAGGCCUAACACAUGCAAGUCGAACGGCAGCGCAGUAAGAGCUUGCUCUUACGGGUGGCGAGUGGCGGACGGGUGAGGAGUACAUCGGAAUCUACUUUUUCGUGGGGGAUAACGUAGGGAAACUUACGCUAAUACCGCAUACGAUCUACGGGUGAAAGCAGGGGAUCUUCGGACCUUGCGCGUUUGAUUGAGCCGAUGUCGGAUUAGCUAGUUGGCGGGGUAAAGGCCCACCAAGGCGACGAUCCGUAGCUGGUCUGAGAGGAUGAUCAGCCACACUGGAACUGAGACACGGUCCAGACUCCUACGGGAGGCAGCAGUGGGGAAUAUUGGACAAUGGGCGCAAGCCUGAUCCAGCCAUGCCGCGUGGGUGAAGAAGGCCUUCGGGUUGUAAAGCCCUUUUGUUGGGAAAGAAAAGCAGCAGGUUAAUACCCCGCUGUUCUGACGGUACCCAAAGAAUAAGCACCGGCUAACUUCGUG
rnacentral:rRNA from 1 species